CACGUAGGGCGCAAGCGUUGUCCGGAAUUAUUGGGCGUAAAGAGCUCGUAGGCGGUCUGUUACGUCUGCUGUGAAAACCCGGGGCUUAACCCUGGGCUUGCAGUGGGUACGGGCAGACUAGAGUAUGGUAGGGGAGACUGGAAUUCCUGGUGUAGCGGUGAAAUGCGCAGAUAUCAGGAGGAACACCGAUGGCGAAGGCAGGUCUCUGGGCCACUACUGACGCUGAGAAGCGAAAGCAUGGGGAGCGAACAGG
rnacentral:rRNA from 1 species